UGCAUACUUGAUGAUAUCAAAAGUGAAGUCCAAGAAUUUUCUUGGUUGUGCCACGUGCUUUCAUCUUUCAUUUGGAUUGAACAUUUUGUGAAAGAUGGGUUGAAUACGUAAUAUCACCAUAAUGUGGAUGCACAUUUAAAUUGUUGAACAAUAAAAGGCUUAUGCACGAUGUCUCGGAAGACGUAGUCGCCUCUAAAAACAAGAUGGCGUAUGGCGAUUUACCGGUCCGUAAAUGCAGAUAGCAUACUCUUGCAGACAUGACGUCUGCAUAACCUAAGUGAGGUUAUAUUGAACACGGCGCAUUAUUCGGCUUCGUGCGAGAAAGACGCGCCAAAUCUUCAGGCUGGGCAUCGCAUUUGUUAGACAUUAAAAAUAUUCUAUAUUAUACGCCCAUAAUAGGGGCAUGUACCUCAAUAAACAUUUUAAAGCAAAA